CAGAGGGGGCAAGCGUUGUUCGGAAUUACUGGGCGUAAAGGGCACGUAGGCGGCCUGCUAAGUCGAACGUGAAAUCCCUGGGCUCAACCCAGGAACUGCGUCCGAUACUGGUUGGCUUGAAUUCGGGAGAGGGAUGUGGAAUUCCAGGUGUAGCGGUGAAAUGCGUAGAUAUCUGGAGGAACACCGGUGGCGAAGGCGGCAUCCUGGACCGAUAUUGACGCUGAUGCGCGAAAGCCAGGGGAGCAAACGGGAUUAGAUACCCCGGUAGUCCUGGCCCUAAACGAUGAAUGCUUGGUGUGGCGGGUAUCGAUCCCUGCCGUGCCGAAGCUAACGCAUUAAGCAUUCCGCCUGGGGAGUACGGUCGCAAGGCUG
rnacentral:rRNA from 1 species